CUGGUACUCCCUCCGUCCGAAAAAGCUUGUCCCAAGCUUAUCCCUCAAAUGGAUGUAUCUAGCACUACAUCCAUUUGAGGGACAAGCUUUUUCGGAUGGAGGGAGUACUUG
rnacentral:pre_miRNA from 1 species